rnacentral:rRNA from 1 species
UGAGGAAUAUUGGUCAAUGGACGCAAGUCUGAACCAGCCAAGUAGCGUGCAGGAUGACGGCCCUAUGGGUUGUAAACUGCUUUUAUAUGGGGAUAAAGUGGGGAACGUGUUCCCUUUUGCAGGUACCAUAUGAAUAAGGACCGGCUAAUUCCGUGCCAGCAGCCGCGGUAAUACGGAAGGUCCAGGCGUUAUCCGGAUUUAUUGGGUUUAAAGGGAGCGUAGGCUGUUUGUUAAGCGUGUUGUGAAAUGUAGGAGCUCAACUUUUAGAUUGCAGCGCGAUCUGGCAGACUUGAGUGCGCACAACGUAGGCGGAAUUCAUGGUGUAGCGGUGAAAUGCUUAGAUAUCAUGACGAACUCCGAUUGCGAAGGCAGCUUACGGGAGCGCAACUGACGCUAAAGCUCGAAGGUGCGGGUAUCGAACAGG